GACUCGACGAAUAUCUACGACGUCUUUCCUGAUUAUUUUCUUCUUUUAGAUGAAAUAAGCUUGCCGUGCGACAGGUCUUCAUUCACACGGCCCUAUAUUAAAAUUAUCCUAUCUUGCGAUGACUUUCAUGAUAUUUCCACUAUGAUGGAACUGAGGAUACAAAAGGUCAAGGUCAAGCAGACUUCUCGUCGCGCGUGUGGAGCUAUCAUGUGACAACCCCGCAGCAAAUGGCCACGUGACCUGGCGCUAAUUCUUGCUGUGAAAGACGAUCGAGUGAGCAUGAUCUUCUAACAAAAGGAUGAACAACAAUAGAGCAAUUUGGUUUCAUUUGAUUGAAGAAUAGUACGAGCUGUGAGUCAAGUCAAAACCUUGCUGGUGUACCUGAUUUGAAUUUUGCGUUUCUCCCGAGUGGUGUUUGCCAAGGCUGUAUGUUACUUUCGUCUCUAUUUGUACAAUUUACAAAUAUUUAUUUGCUAUAUAAAGCUUUUACAGAUGAACAUGGUUUAACCUUUGAAACUAAUUACAAUAUUAUUUGUUUGCAUGGUGUAACCUUAUCAUAACAUUUUAUUGUCAAUAAAUCUUGUCAUCAUA